rnacentral:rRNA from 1 species
AGCGAACGUUAGCGGCGGGCCUAACACAUGCAAGUCGAACGCGAAAGGUCUUCGGACUGAGUAGAGUGGCGCACGGGUGAGUAACACGUAGGUAAUCUACCCUUUGGCGGGGAUAACGUUCCGAAAGGAGCGCUAAUACCGCAUAAGACCACGGAGUCUCCGGACGCUGUGGGAAAAGGUGGCCUCUUCUUGAAAGCUACCACCGAAGGAUGAGCCUGCGUCCCAUCAGCUAGUUGGUAAGGUAAUGGCUUACCAAGGCGAAGACGGGUAGCUGGUUUGAGAGAAUGAUCAGCCACACUGGCACUGGAACACGGGCCAGACUCCUACGGGAGGCAGCAGUGAGGAAUAUUGGGCAAUGGGCGAAAGCCUGACCCAGCCACGCCGCGUGAGUGAUGAAGGCCCUCGGGUCGUAAAGCUCUGUGGAGAGGGACGAAAACCCUGGUUUCAAAUAGGCUCCAGGCUUGACGGUACCUCUUUAGCAAGCACCGGCUAACUCUGUGCCAGCAGCCGACGG